rnacentral:lncRNA from 1 species
GUUGCCGGUUUGUCACCCGUUUGACUAGUAUCAACAUCUAUUUCCGUAGAAGCUGAUGGAAGUUGAUAAAGUCAUGUGGAUUUUUAUGAAUAUGUGAUUUUUUCAAAAUUAACAAUCACGCCAGAAGAAAACCACGUACAACAAUAAAUACACAUAAACAAACUAAACAUACUGUACAGUCUGAUAAAAAGUAAAAUUACUAAGACACUGCACCCCGAGGAAAAUUCAAAACGGAAAGUCCUUAAUCAAAUGGCAAAAUCAAAAGAUAAAACACACCAAACGAAUGGAUAACUUGGUAUAGGCAUUUUCUUAUGUGGAAAAUGGUGGAUUGAAACUGGUUUUAUAGCUAGCUAAACCUCUCACUUUUAUGACAGUCGCAUCGAAUUCCAUUAUAUUGACAAUGAUGCGUUAACAAAACAAACAUACAUACAUGUAUUAAGGGGGUUCGCGGGUCUAAAUCAUUUAUAUAGGAUUUCUCUAUAUUUUUCUAUAAAUGAACUUUAUCUUAUAGUUAUUCGAAAAAUAAAAUAAAAUAAUGGGGUCACCGUUCAUUUGCGCUCACAAUCUGCCUUCGAAAGAAGCAUAAAAGUGUUUUUUUUUCUGUUGAACUAAUAGGAGAAAUAAAGGUAAUACCGAAAUAAAAAAAGAAAUUUAUUACAGAAAUCGCUCAAAUUUUACAAUAAUUUAGUUUAAGUACAGCAUAUAUCAAAAUUAUAUUAAAAAAUAUAGGUCACCGAUGAGUUAAAAGAGAUAUUUCAAUGUUAAAGCCAAAAAAUGGCAUUUUUCACCAAAGGGAGAUAAUUUGGAACUUUUUCAAUGAUGUUUACAUUUUAAAAGUCAUCUGGGGCCAACAAGAAUUUAUUGUGUUGAAUGUUUUUUGUACCAUAUGAUAAAGUAACAACUACAAAAGGUAAUAAAUAAAAUUUGUAAUGAAAAACAAAUGUUUAAUUUUUUUCUGAAAUUUUUAUACCCUCAAGCCUCCUUAA